rnacentral:misc_RNA from 1 species
UUUCCGUAGGUGAACCUGCGGAAGGAUCAUUAAUGAAAGUUGGGCUUCGGCCCUCUCUCUUCUAAACACUUGUGAACUUACCCUGUUGCUUUGGCAGGUCUCCGGAAGGACUCUUCAAGAGUCUCGAAGGUCAGAUCGAAAGGUGCCUGCCAAAGACAUUAUACCACCCUAUUUUAAUUGUCUGAUUUUUGUUUUUACAAACCAAAAUAAAACUUUCAACAAUGGAUCUCUUGGCUCUGGCAUCGAUGAAGAACGCAGC